UUCUCCUUCCUUCAACCAGCCGUUUCCUCUCCUCCAUACCCAAUCUCCAUUAAAGUUUAUCAAAGCUUUAAACCUCACCAAAUCUCACUUGAAAUCCUUGCCUAGCUUCACAAAAAAUUAACCUAGCAACUUAAACAUCCUCUAGGCAGCCAAAAGAGGAAGAAAAAAAAGAGUUUAGUUAGCUUGAAAUUCUGCUCCAACAAGGUUCUGAAGAGACCGAUAGAGAGCCCAGUAGACCACAGACUAUGUGAGAUCAUCUGCAGCUCUGCAUAGUAUCCGUGUCACCUCACCGUUUUCAGUGCAUUGGUAGGAUACUAGGUUCCAUUUUGGUAUAUUAUAAUUAACUUUUAUUUUCUCAUGUGUAAUUGAGACUUAUGUAAUGUAUUUUGGUAUUAAUGUAAAUAGUGAAAAUUGUGUUUAUGAAUGGAAAAUUGAGUAUUUAUUUA